rnacentral:rRNA from 1 species
CCUACGGGGGGCUGCAGUGGGGAAUAUUGGACAAUGGGGGCAACCCUGAUCCAGCCAUGCCGCGUGUGUGAAGAAGGCCCUCGGGUUGUAAAGCACUUUCAGUGAGGAAGAACGCCUGGUGGUGAAUACCCAUCAGGAAAGACAUCACUCACAGAAGAAGCACCGGCUAACUCCGUGCCAGCAGCCGCGGUAAUACGGAGGGUGCGAGCGUUAAUCGGAAUUACUGGGCGGAAAGCGCGCGUAGGUGGCUUGAUAAGCCGGUUGUGAAAGCCCCGGGCUCAACCUGGGAACGGCAUCCGGAACUGUCAAGCUAGAGUGCAGGAGAGGAAGGUAGAAUUCCCGGUGUAGCGGUGAAAUGCGUAGAGAUCGGGAGGAAUACCAGUGGCGAAGGCGGCCUUCUGGACUGACACUGACACUGAGGUGCGAAAGCGUGGGUAGCAAACAGGAUUAGAUACCCCAGUAGUC